rnacentral:rRNA from 1 species
GAUGAACGCUAGCGGCAGGCUUAACACAUGCAAGUCGAGGGGUAGAAGGAGCUUGCUCCUUUGAGACCGGCGCACGGGUGCGUAACGCGUAUGCAAUCUACCUUUUGCAGAGGGAUAGCCCAGAGAAAUUUGGAUUAAUACCUCAUAGUAUGUGAGGAUGGCAUCAUUUUCACAUUAAAGUCACAACGGCAAAGAUGAGCAUGCGUCCCAUUAGCUAGUUGGUAAGGUAACGGCUUACCAAGGCUACGAUGGGUAGGGGUCCUGAGAGGGAGAUCCCCCACACUGGUACUGAGACACGGACCAGACUCCUACGGGAGGCAGCAGUGAGGAAUAUUGGACAAUGGGCGGCAAGCCUGAUCCAGCCAUGCCGCGUGCAGGAUGACGGUCCUAUGGAUGUAACUGCUUUGUACAGGAAGAAACACUACUUCGUGAAGUAGCUUGACGGUACUGUAAGAAUAAGGAUCGGCUAACUCCGUGCC